CUCCUCCUACGGGAGGCAGCAGAGGGGUAUAUUGCACAAUGGGGGAAACCCUGAUGCAGCGACGCCGCGUGGGCGAAGAAGUAUUUCGGUAUGUAAAGCCCUCUCAGCAGGGAAGAAGAAAUGACGGUACCUGAGUAAGAAGCACCGGCUAAAUACGUGCCAGCAGCCGCGGUAAUACGUAUGGGGCAAGCGUUAUCCGGAUUUACUGGGUGUAAAGGGAGCGCAGGCGGCACGGCAAGCCUGAUGUGA
rnacentral:rRNA from 1 species